rnacentral:rRNA from 1 species
AGAGUUUGAUCCUGGCUCAGAACGAACGCUGGCGGCAGGCCUAACACAUGCAAGUCGAACGAGAAGCCACCUUCGGGUGGUGGACAGUGGCAGACGGGUGAGUAACGCGUGGGAACGUGCCUUUCGGUUCGGAAUAACCCAGGGAAACUUGGGCUAAUACCGGAUACGCCCUUCGGGGGAAAGAUUCAUUGCCGAAAGAUCGGCCCGCGUCGGAUUAGCUAGUUGGUGGGGUAAUGGCUCACCAAGGCGACGAUCCGUAGCUGGUCUGAGAGGAUGACCAGCCACACUGGGACUGAGACACGGCCCAGACUCCUACGGGAGGCAGCAGUGGGGAAUAUUGGACAAUGGGCGAAAGCCUGAUCCAGCCAUGCCGCGUGGGUGAAGAAGGCCUUAGGGUUGUAAACCCCUUUCAGCGGGGAAGAUAAUGACGGUACCCGCAGAAGAAGUCCCGGCUAACUCCGUGCCAGCAGCCGCGGUA